rnacentral:rRNA from 1 species
CCCUUAGAUGUUCUGGGCUGCACGCGCGCUACACUGAUACACUCAACGAGUUCCUGUCUUGAAAGAGUCGGGUAAUCAUUUGAGCGUGUAUCGUGAUGGGGAUAGAAUAUUGUAAUUAUUACUCUUCAACGAGGAAUUCCUAGUAGUCACUGUUCAUCAGACAGUGACGACUAUGUCCCUGCCCUUUGUACACACCGCCCGUCGCUCCUACCGAUUGAGUGGUCCGGUGAGGCUUUGGGAUCUGAGCGGAAAGAGCGUUUCGCUGUUUCUGCUCGGAAAACUCAGUCGAACCUUAUCAUUUAGAGGAAGGAGAAGUCGUAACA